rnacentral:rRNA from 1 species
GAACGGCGGCACGGACUUCGGUCUGGUGGCGAGUGGCGAACGGGUGAGUAAUGUAUCGGAACGUGCCCAGUAGCGGGGGAUAACUACGCGAAAGCGUAGCUAAUACCGCAUACGCCCUACGGGGGAAAGCAGGGGAUCGCAAGACCUUGCACUAUUGGAGCGGCCGAUAUCGGAUUAGCUAGUUGGUGGGGUAACGGCUCACCAAGGCGACGAUCCGUAGCUGGUUUGAGAGGACGACCAGCCACACUGGGACUGAGACACGGCCCAGACUCCUACGGGAGGCAGCAGUGGGGAAUUUUGGACAAUGGGGGAAACCCUGAUCCAGCCAUCCCGCGUGUGCGAUGAAGGCCUUCGGGUUGUAAAGCACUUUUGGCAGGAAAGAAACGUCAUGGGUUAAUACCCCGUGAAACUGACGGUACCUGCAGAAUAAGCACCGGCUAACUACGUGCCAGCAGCCGCGGUAAUACGUAGGGUGCAAGCGUUAAUCGGAAUUACUGGGCGUAAAGCGUGCGCAGGCGGUUCGGAAAGAAAGAUGUGAAAUCCCGGAGCUUAACUUUGGAACUGCAUUUUUAACUACCGGGCUAGAGUGUGUCAGAGGGAGGUGGAAUUUCGCGUGUAGCAGUGAAAUGCGUAGAUAUGCGGAGGAACACCGAUGGCGAAGGCAGCCUCCUGG